rnacentral:misc_RNA from 1 species
ACACGAUCAACUCUAGUUAAGAGUUGGGACUGACCUUAUGUGCUGUCGUGCGUAUUUGGUUUGAAUGUAUCAAGUUGAUGGGCUUCCCAAUGUCGCUCAAUGUGUGCUAGCGAGACAGUCGUCCCGAUCUCACAUUCUUGCUUCAUUGCAAGGCCCUAUUGACAACUUUAUAACAGUUUAUCAUCAA